GAUGAACGCUGGCGGCGUGCCUAAUACAUGCAAGUCGAGCGGCAGCACGGUCUUCGGACUGGUGGCGAGCGGCGGACGGCUGAGUAACACGUGGGAACGUGCCCCAAAGUGAGGAAUAACUGCCCGAAAGGGUAGCUAAUGCCGCAUAUGGUCUUCGGAUUAAAGUAUUUAUACGCUUUGGGGGCGGCCCGCGUCGGAUUAGGUUGUUGGUGAGGUAAAGGCUCACCAAGCCGACGAUCCGUAGCUGGUCUGAGAGGAUGAUCAGCCAGACUGGAACUGAGACACGGUCCAGACUCCCACGGGAGGCAGCAGUGAGGAAUCUUCCACAAUGGGGGCAACCCUGAUGGAGCAACGCCGCGUGCAGGAUGAAGGCCUUCGGGUUGUAAACUGCUUUUAUAAGUGAAGAAUAUGACGGUAACUUAUGAAUAAGCACCGGCUAACUACGUGCCAGCCGCCGCGGUAA
rnacentral:rRNA from 1 species